rnacentral:rRNA from 1 species
GAUGAACGCUGGCGGUAUGCUUAACACAUGCAAGUCGAACGGACUCUUCGGAGUUAGUGGCGGACGGGUGAGUAACGCGUGAGAAUCUGGCUUUGGGUUCGGGACAACCACUGGAAACGGUGGCUAAUACCGGAUGUGCCGAGAGGUAAAAGAGAAAUUGCCUGAAGAUGAGCUCGCGUCUGAUUAGCUAGUUGGUGAGGUAAAGGCUCACCAAGGCAGCGAUCAGUAGCUGGUCUGAGAGGAUGACCAGCCACACUGGGACUGAGACACGGCCCAGACUACUACGGGAGGCAGCAGUGGGGAAUUUUCCGCAAUGGGCGAAAGCCUGACGGAGCAAUACCGCGUGAGGGAAGAAGGCUCUUGGGUUGUAAACCUCUUUUCCUAGGGAAGAACAAAAUGACGGUACCUAAGGAAUCAGCAUCGGCUAACUCCGUG